CGGCUUUGAAUCCCUUCAUGGGCGAGUUUCUUUGGCAAGUUUCCAGCAUUUACUUUCUUUCAUUUGUAAGUGUUCUUUUUCGUUUCUUUCCUUCUUUCUUUUUUUUUUUUAAAUUUUUUUCGAUUUUUUCCUUUUUCUUCUAACAAAAUAAUUUUCCUUCUAUUUUUUCCUUUUCCUUUUCUUUUUCACUUUCUUUUUUUUUUCCUUUUUUUUCUUCUUUUUAAUUAUAUUUUUUAUUUUUAUUUUUUCUUCUUUGUGAUAAAUAAUACUAUUUCUCUUUGUAAAUGACAAUAUUUUUUUUGAUAAAUGACACCAUCGAUAUUAAUAAAUGAUACUAUAUUUAUA
rnacentral:lncRNA from 1 species